rnacentral:rRNA from 1 species
CACGUAGGGUGCGAGCGUUGUCCGGAAUUAUUGGGCGUAAAGAGCUCGUAGGCGGUGUGUCGCGUCGGCCGUGAAAACCUGCAGCUUAACUGUGGGCUUGCGGUCGAUACGGGCAUCACUGGAGUUCGGCAGGGGAGACUGGAAUUCCUGGUGUAGCGGUGAAAUGCGCAGAUAUCAGGAGGAACACCGGUGGCGAAGGCGGGUCUCUGGGCCGAUACUGACACUGAGGGACGAAAGCUAGGGGAGCGAAUGGG